rnacentral:lncRNA from 1 species
GUUUGGUGAUAAUGUUGUAAGUUCUAAGAGGUGGAGAGUUGGGUAUGCCUAAUAAAGUAAAAAUGUGAAGGUCAAGAAUCCGCUUUCCAGACAUGUUGGCCUUCCUGCCUGCCUUCUGUUUGUAGCUUUCCAAUCUGAUCAAACUUAUUUUUUUCAAAUGCAGUAGUCAUUCACAUAGAGUUAGAAUUUUGAAGAAGAGGAAAAUGUUAUAAAGCUCAACGGAGAGACAAGAGAGAAAUACGCACCGAGUCUAUGUAUCUUACACACAAAAAACUAUGGCUGCUCUUGACUAUAUGCCCUCAGUGAAUCAUGUUUGGGGACAGAGAAUUCUUUGGUACAGAAUGCCAGAAUCAAAGAAGAAGCAGGGUACUUCUGUGUAAGGAAAUAGCUCAUGGCCAGGGUAAGGAAAGGAAAUGUCCUUGGGAUGUUGCAGAGAGAACCUUCCUGAAGUUCUGAUUUCAUACAGAACAUUUUUCUACCUUAGUCAAACAAUAUUUCACAUGAAUAUGUUUUAGUAAUAAGCUGGAUUGCUUAGACAGGAUCUGUGAAUUGGCAAUUUUUGGAAUUUUUUUAUCAUGAUAAAACAGAAAAGGAGAGAAGUCAAAGCUUAGAGCUACUAGUUUUGUUCUAUUUGUAGUCUUGAUUAAAAUAACAUCGACCUAAUAAUAAUAAUGGAGAAAAUAUGGGCGAAUGGAAACUAUGGGGGUUUAUAUUAGAUUAUAUGAUUCAUGACUAG